GUCACCGAUUGAAACACUAUUUAGCACGAACACCGCUAACUAGCUAGCCAUUUCACAUCUGUUACAUCAGCAUCUGUCCAGCAAAAUGACCCAGGAUCUGCCCAGCAAAAUCACCCAUUAAUUAGCCUUCAGCAUGAUAUAUCAACUGGCCAGCAACAGGAAACAUAAUUCAGCCCGAAUCUGGCCAUCUGGGCUUUUAGACUUCCAGAAUUUCCAGACGUAUUAAAAGAAAAACCUGAAAGAAAAUGUGACGAUCUCCGUUGCCCUGCGGUUCUCUCGAAGUGGAGGUCUCAGAUUGGGCAGGUGUUGUUUGCCUUCAUGUGUACCUAUACUUGGAGUCAUGGAACGGCAUGAUAAAGAAUAAAUACAAGUACAGGAAAUGCAGAAGAAGUUUAGGGGGCAAGGGAAAAAAUAAACCCAGAUGACAUCAAAAAUGAAGACCUGACCAAAAUAGCCAAGAUUGAGAUUGGUGAGAAUUCCUUCAGUCAAGAGUUACAUGUUGAACAGAUGCAGGUGGAAUGCCAAGAAAAGAGACCGAACAUCAGUUCCCUACAAGACAAAACGAAAAGGACUGAAAAAUAACGUUUUUAUGAAACAAGGCACCAAGGACAUCUUAAAACUGUACCCAGCACUCCAUUUGUCAGCCAUUGUCUGAAGGUCACUGCAGCCAUUUUAUUAUUCACCCUAUUACACAGGUCUGAAGGUCACUGCAGCCAUUUUAUUACACACCCUAUUACACAGGUCUGAAGGUCACUGCAGCCAUUUUAUUACACACCCUAUUACACAGGUCUGAAGGUCACUGCAGCCAUUUUAUUACUCACCCUAUUACACAGGUCUGAAGGUCACUGCAGCCAUUUUAUUACACACCCUAUUACACAGGUCUGAAGGUCACUGCAGCCAUUUUAUUACUCACCCUAUUACACAGGUCUGAAGGUCACUGCAGCCAUUUUAUUACUCACCCUAUUACACAGGCCUGAAGGUCACUGCAGCCAUUUUAUUACUCACCCUAUUACACAGGUCUGAAGGUCACUGCAGCCAUUUUAUUACACACCCUAUUACACAGGCCUGAAGGUCACUGCAGCCAUUUUAUUACUCACCCUAUUACACAGGUCUGAAGGUCACUGCAGCCAUUUUAUUACUCACCCUAUUACACAGGUCUGAAGGUCACUGCAGCCAUUUUAUUACUCACCCUAUUACACAGGUCUGAAGGUCACUGAAGCCAUUUUAUUACUCACCCUAUUACACAGGUCUGAAGGUCACUGCAGCCAUUUUAUUACUCACCCUAUUACACAGGUCUGAAGGUCACUGCAGCCAUUUUAUUAC